CCUANGGGGGGCAGCAGUCGAGAAUUUUUCACAAUGGGCGCAAGCCUGAUGGAGCGACGCCGCGUGGGGGAUGAAUGGCUUCGGCCCGUAAACCCCUGUCAUUUGCGAACAAAGCUUACGGUUUAAUACAUCGUAAGUUGAUAGUAGCGGAAGAGGAAGGGACGGCUAACUCUGUGCCAGCAGCCGCGGUAAUACAGAGGUCCCGAGCGUUGUUCGGAUUCACUGGGCGUAAAGGGUGCGUAGGCGGUCGGGUAAGUCUGAUGUGAAAUCUCGGAGCCCAACUCCGAAACGGCAUUGGAUACUAUUCGGCUCGAGGUUGGGAGGGGGGACUGGAAUUCUCGGUGUAGCAGUGAAAUGCGUAGAUAUCGAGAGGAACACCAGUGGCGAAGGCGAGUCCCUGGACCAAUCCUGACGCUGAGGCACGAAAGCCAGGGGAGCAAACGGGAUUAGAUACCCUGNUANUC
rnacentral:rRNA from 1 species